rnacentral:rRNA from 1 species
GACGAACGCUGGCGGCGUGCUUAACACAUGCAAGUCGAACGGAAAGGCCCUGCUUUUGUGGGGUGCUCGAGUGGCGAACGGGUGAGUAACACGUGAGUAACCUGCCCUUGACUUUGGGAUAACUUCAGAAAACUGGGGCUAAUACCGGAUAGGAGCUCCUGCUGCAUGGUGGGGGUUGGAAAGUUUCGGCGGUUGGGGAUGGACUCGCGGCUUACCAGCUUGUUGGUGGGGUAGUGGCUUACCAUGGCUUUGACGGGUAGCCGGCCUGGGUGGGUGACCGGCCACAUUGGGACUGAGAUACGGCCCAGACGCCUACGGGAGGCAGCAGUGGGGAAUAUUGCACAAUGGGCGGAAGCCUGAUGCAGCAACGCCGCGUGCGGGAUGACGGCCUUCGGGUUGUAAACCGCUUUCGCCUGUGACGAAGCGUGAGUGACGGUAAUGGGUAAAGAAGCACCGGCUAACUACGUG